GGAGAGGCGUGUCUGCUGGACAGCUAUGUGAUCCAACAGUCACUAUGAAGAGAUCAUAGGACAGAAUGAUCAAAUGAACGUUCACACACUACUGACAGCAUGGAAAUAUAUCACUUCCCUUGCAUAGCUCUUUCUUCAAGCGCUGUUCAAAGUGCUUCUUCAAUAUAGCAAAAUCUCACUCGCCAUGAGUGAAAAGAUAAAUGUUUCCAUGUGGAUCCAAUUCUGGUGGUCAUUCGGUUGCGGUGAUCAACAAUGUAUUCUCACUGGGAUUCCUGCAUCUGCUCUGUGUAGAAGGUGAUGACUCGGCACUCAGAUCAGAUUAGUUGUGAUGCCUCCAUCUCUGAUGCUCAAAGAUAAGAAAGAAAGAAAGAUGCGUCUGGUGUCACUUGGUAAACGGCAGGUUGGAGACCAUCAGACAAUUGGUUGCAACAAGCCAAGGUCAUAUGCAAGCAAACGCAGUUAUCUGAAACUACAAAAUACUGCCCUCAGCAAAUAACCUUAAGAACUGGACAAAUAUUUAGAUUUGACUGCAUCUGCUGAAAAUCUGUCUGAAAUGCCUCUGAUAAACUGAACAACACUAAAGGAACACUUGGACUAAGUAACUUGAAAAGGAAUUAUUCAUAUUUACUAAUGAAUUGCAUAAAUCGAAGCCACAUUUGCCUGAAUGGAGAAGUUACCUCUGGGGGUAAAUUCUCCCAAGCCAUCUUGUCUACUUGAUUACAUGGGAAAGCCUCUAUUCAUCCUAUUUAUUUUCUUUAAAUGCAUACUGAUAGGCAUUGUCUUAUUUGAGUACUUUCCUCAUUGUCUCUUUUCUUUCUAGAAUAUGAGGUCCCAGAGGGAGGGCAGGACUUUGCCUAGUUAUUUAGUGAGAUGCCAUGUAUGUUUCAGCUUGUACUUUCCCUAGAAAAUCCAUAGUCUUCCUUUGUCAAUGUAUUUCUAAGGUAGCAGAUGCCCCCAGCUCUUUUUUCCAUAUAUAUUAUUUAUCUUACAAUAUUUAAUAAUUGGCAAUGAUUACAUAUACUCAAGGUUAAGUGUAUAGUGUGCUGUUUUGAUAAACGUGUACAUACCCAGGGUAACGAUUGAUACAAUAAAAUUAAUUAUCACACCCACCACCACCCAUGCUGGUUCAUUUUGUAAUUGAAAGUUUGUAAACUUUGACCAACAUCUCCUCUUCACUCUACCCUCCUUUUAUGCCCACCACUAAUCCCCUAAUUCUCUUAAGUUUGACAAUUUUAAAUUCCAC
rnacentral:lncRNA from 1 species